rnacentral:rRNA from 1 species
AACGAACGCUGGCGGCAGGCCUCAAACAUGCAAGUCUAGGGGGUGCAGCAAUGCAUCACCGGCGGACGGGUGCGUAACGCGUGGGAAUAUACCUUUCGGUUCGGAACAACUGCGGGAAACUGCAGCUAAUACCGAAUGUGCCCUAACGGGGAAAGAUUUAUCGCCAAAGGAUUAGCCCGCGUAGGAUUAGCUAGUUGGUGAGGUAAUGGCUCACCAAGGCUCCGAUCCUUAGCUGUUCGAGAGGAAGAUCAGCCACACUGGGACUGAGACACGGCCCAGACUCCUACGGGAGGCAGCAGUUGGAAUCUUGGACAAUGGGGGAAAACCCUGAUCCAGCCAUGCCGCGUGAGUGAUG